GCAGGAGUCCCUGCCGGGCCGUCCCCGCUCCGCUGGUUUCCUACCGUAGCCGAAGCGUUUGUUGGGUGCCGUCCUUCUCCUUCCUCAGACUACCUGCAAUUUCGCACAAUGAAAAAAAGAUCACAGCCAUUGAAAACCCUGUGGAACGCAGUUCUAUUCUGAAGCUUGAAGGAUCACCAUGAGUCAGAGUGGACUCAACAAACAGGGGGCAAAACAAUGGGCGAUAUCAUCAAGACCCGAGAUAAUUGAACAAAAUCCGGAGCCAUCUUGUGACUGAAACCAGGAUGGCGUCAAGACACCUGCAAGACAUCAACAAGAGGUCACUUUGUCAUUAUGUUCACCUCAAAGAAGAAUCAACAUUCCUGGAAAUCUCUAAACCCUGACCUUCUCCCAAUAAAACUCUCCAGUUAGCUCUUUUGGGGCAGAAAGAAUUUGGGAGAAAUUUAAACCCCUCUGUCUCUUGGACACCAGUGUUCAAUAAAGCCCUCUUGCAGCUUACCUCCUCCUGUUUCAAUAUUGGCUUUGCGGCAGGCAGCUGGCAUCUACAGUUUGCGGUAACAAUGGUGGAGGGGCCAGCCCCAGAGGCCUGGUUGGGGAU